UCCGUAGAUAGUGAACAGUCUUGAUGUGAUUAGAAUCUUUUGUGCGUUCAAGCUCAUUUUGACGAGUUUCGCUACCUCGGGGUGUUCAAAUUUAGUAUGGAAAAAAGACGUCAAAUGCGCUCGUCAGCGUAACGGAGUUUUGCCAACUUAAUAGAAGAAGAAGGCUCGUAAUGGCGUCCAUACUGUCUUCGCGCAACGGUCGAGUGCGCCGGAAGUUCUGGGCAAGUUGCAAGGUUGGAAACAUGCAAGUGAGCUAGACGAGGAAAGGAAUACCGGAAGUGCAGAGUUACUCAAGAAUGCACGUCGAUUUGAAGGUGAAGCCAGGAGUUUUGAAUAUUGUCACUUUGCAGACGUAGCAAUUGAUGAUGAAAUGAAAUUCUAAAGGAAAGAGCUAGUAGAAAUAAAUUUUUCAUAAAAUCGGUCUGUGAAGCGAAUCAGGGCCAUGGCCCUCUUGCCCUCACACCGUUAAUGUAUGCCUGCAUGAUCAGUUAUUACUC